CCUACGGGAGGCAGCAGUGGGGAAUAUUGGACAAUGGGGGAAACCCUUAUCCAGCGACGCCGCGUGAGGGAAGAAGGUUUUCGGAUUGUAAACCUCUGUCAGUGGGGACGAUAAUGACGGUACCCACGGAGGAAGCCACGGCUAACUACGUGCCAGCAGCCGCGGUAAUACGUAGGGGGCAAGCGUUAUCCGGAUUUACUGGGUGUAAAGGGAGCGCAGGCGGCGUGGCAAGUCAGAUGUGAAAACCCGGGGCCCAACCCCGGGAGUGCAUUUGAAACUGCCAUGCUGGAGUGCCGGAGAGGUAAGCGGAAUUCCUAGUGUAGCGGUGAAAUGCGUAGAUAUUAGGAGGAACACCAGUGGCGGAGGCGGCUUACUGGACGGUAACUGACGCUGAGGCUCGAAAGCGUGGGGAGCAAACAGGAUUAGAUACCCGUGUAGUC
rnacentral:rRNA from 1 species